rnacentral:piRNA from 1 species
UAGGUAGGUAGGUAGGUAGGUAGA